GGCGAGUGAAGCGGCAACAGCUCAAAUUUGAAAUCUGGCUCUUUUAGGGUCCGAGUUGUAAUUUGCAGAGGGCGCUUUGGCGUUGGCAGCGGUCCAAGUUCCUUGGAACAGGACGUCACAGAGGGUGAGAAUCCCGUACGUGGUCGCUAACCUUCGCCGUGUAAAGCCCCUUCGACGAGUCGAGUUGUUUGGGAAUGCAGCUCUAAAUGGGAGGUAAAUUUCUUCUAAAGCUAAAUACUGGCCAGAGACCGAUAGCGCACAAGUAGAGUGAUCGAAAGAUGAAAAGCACUUUGGAAAGAGAGUCAAACAGCACGUGAAAUUGUUGAAAGGGAAGCGCUUGCAGCCAGACUUGCCUGUAGUUGCUCAUCCGGGCUCUCGCCCGGUGCACUCUUCUGCGGGCAGGCCAGCAUCAGUUUGGGCGGUUAGAUAAAGGUCUCUGUCAUGUACCUCUCUUCGGGGAGGCCUUAUAGGGGAGACGACAUGUAACCAGCCUGGACUGAGGUCCGCGCAUUUGCUAGGAUGCUGGCGUAAUGGCUGUAAGCGGCCCGUCUUGAAACACGGACCAAGGAGUCUAACAUCUAUGCGAGUGUUUGGGUGUCAAGCCCGAGCGCGCAAUGAAAGUGAACGGAGGUGGGACCCCUUUAGGGUGCACCAUCGACCGAUCCUGAUGUCUUCGGAUGGAUUUGAGUAAGAGCAUGGCUGUUGGGACCCGAAAGAUGGUGAACUAUGCUUGAAUAGGGUGAAGCCAGAGGAAACUCUGGUGGAGGCUCGCAGCGGUUCUGACGUGCAAAUCGAUCGUCAAAUUUGGGCAU
rnacentral:rRNA from 1 species